rnacentral:rRNA from 1 species
AGCAUAUCAAUAAGCGGAGGAAAAGAAACCAACAGGGAUUGCCCUAGUAACGGCGAGUGAAGCGGCAACAGCUCAAAUUUGAAAUCUGGCCCUUUUAGAGUCCGAGUUGUAAUUUGCAGAGGGCGCUUUGGCGUUGGCAGCGGUCCAAGUUCUUUGGAACAGGACGUCACAGAGGGUGAGAAUCCCGUACGUGGUCGCUAUCCUUCGCCGUGUAAAGCCCCUUCGACGAGUCGAGUUGUUUGGGAAUGCAGCUCUAAAUGGGAGGUAAAUUUCUUCUAAAGCUAAAUACUGGCCAGAGACCGAUAGCGCACAAGUAGAGUGAUCGAAAGAUGAAAAGCACUUUGGAAAGAGAGUCAAAUAGCACGUGAAAUUGUUGAAAGGGAAGCGCUUGCAGCCAGACUUGCCUGUAGUUGCUUAUCUGGACUUUUGUCCAGUGCACUCUUCUAUAGGCAGGCCAGCAUCAGUUUGGGCGGUUAGAUAAAGGUCUCUGUCAUGUACCUCUCUUCGGGGAGGCCUUAUAGGGGAGACGACAUGUAACCAGCCUGGACUGAGGUCCGCGCAUCUGCUAGGAUGCUGGCGUAAUGGCUGUAAGCGGCCCGUCUUGAAACACGGACCAAGGAGUCUAACAUCUAUGCGAGUGUUUGGGUGUCAAGCCCAGACGCGUAAUGAAAGUGAACGGAGGUAGGAACCCUUUGGGUGCACUAUCGACCGAUCCUGAUGUCUUCGGAAGGAUUUGAGUAAGAGCAUGGCUGUUGGGACCCGAAAGAUGGUGAACUAUGCUUGAAUAGGGUGAAGCCAGAGGAAACUCUGGUGGAGGCUCGCAGCGGUUCUGACGUGCAAAUCGAUCGUCAAAUUUGGGCAUAGGGGCGAAAGACUAAUCG